UACAGAGGGUGCGAGCGUUGUCCGGAAUCACUGGGCGUAAAGGGCGCGUAGGCGGCCUGAUGAGUAGGGGGUGAAAUCCUGUGGCUUAACUGCAGGGCUGCCUCCUAGACUGUUAGGCUCGAGCACGGUAGAGGCAGAUGGAAUUCCCGGUGUAGCGGUGGAAUGCGUAGAGAUCGGGAAGAACAUCGGUGGCGAAGGCGGUCUGCUGGGCCGAUACUGACGCUGAGGAGCGAAAGCGUGGGGAGCGAACAGG
rnacentral:rRNA from 1 species